GUGCUUGCUUCGGCAGCACAUAUACUAAAAUUGGAAUGAUACAGAGAAGAUUAGCAUGGCUCCUGCACAAGGAUGACACGCAAAUUCGUGAAGCGUUCGUUCCAUAU
ensembl:snRNA U6 U6 spliceosomal RNA